UAUUGAGAUUUCGUGCUUUUAAUAAUUCCAUUAUUUUCUGGCGGUAGAAGAAUUUGGUUGAAUACUUAUUAAAAAAUUAAGUUUAUUUUACUACCUUUCUGUACAUUUGGUUCAUCAAUUGGUGCUCAUAAUCGGACUUUGUUUCAUGAAGGCAUCAAUUAAUUUGUUGGAAUAUUUAUAUUCCCUUGAUAAUUAAAGGCGGAAAAUAACAAAGCGUGACAGAUAACCUCAAAAUCUUCGAGGUCAGAACGUAGGGAAACAAUGGUGUGAAAUUAUUCAUAAUUCCGCCAAGUUGGUUUAAUAAACUUGAGCUUGAGGCGGAUGUUCAUCAGGUGAGGACCGCAACGUCGUCUUCUCGGGAAGGAAGGAGUUAUAAAUACGUCGAGGAAGACACCGUUCAGGGGUUAGUUACGUACAACGUUCUCUCUGGAUUAUUUGCAUAUCUAAAGCUUGGGUUCGCCAUUCACUUGAUUCAACUCGGGUUGAGCCAAAUAACAAAUUUUAAAAGGAAAAAGGCUGAUGCACAUAUGGAAGACCGUGAAACCUAACCUAACCUAACCUAACCUAAAACGUGCGAUAUUCCACGCAGAACCGACACGGCACGCCAGUUCAUGUAAUAUCAGGUUCAUAAUAAUAUGUAAAUGAAGAGCUGCGGCUUAUCAGGGAUCUUCGGAGAAAAACUGAAAGAUGGUUUACAAAGAGGAAGGUUUAAAAGGUUGCAGCAGGUGAAGAAGUACGAUGUGCCGACGGUAUUGUCUGGCCGUUUUAAGGAAGUUGCAGCGUCGAGAACAAUGCAAACAGAAAAUGGAUAAUUAUUGGACUGUAAAUUGCAAAGGGGUACUCGGUAAUUUAUGUUAAUUUCGAUCGUAAAGUAAAUUCCUGCGGAGGUACCUGGUACCCGUACCAAACCUAAAACACAAUGGGGGAAUUUACUAGAAAUCAUUAUAACCAUACUCGGUCGGUAACGAACUCUGCAUUAGUUGUCGGUAAAAAAAAUCUUAACCUACAAAUUUUACUUCUUACUCUUUUUAUAUCAAUUUUAAUUUAUUUCAAACUACAAUAAACAAACAUAAUCUCUCCGUCGUUUA